rnacentral:rRNA from 1 species
GGGUUGUGAGGUUAAGCGACUAAGCGUACACGGUGGAUGCCCUGGCAGUCAGAGGCGAUGAAGGACGUGCUAAUCUGCGAAAAGCGUCGGUAAGGUGAUAUGAACCGUUACAGCCGGCGAUGUCCGAAUGGGGAAACCCAGUGCAAUUCGUUGCACUAUCGUUAACUGAAUACAUAGGUUAACGAGGCGAACCGGGGGAACUGAAACAUCUAAGUACCCCGAGGAAAAGAAAUCAACCGAGAUUCCCCCAGUAGCGGCGAGCGAACGGGGAGCAGCCCAGAGUCUGAAUCAGCUUGUGUGUUAGUGGAACGGUCUGGAAAGUCCGACGGUACAGGGUGAUAGUCCCGUACACCAAAAUGCACAGGCUGUGAACUCGAAGAGUAGGGCGGGACACGUGGUAUCCUGUCUGAAUAUGGGGGGACCAUCCUCCAAGGCUAAAUACUCCUGACUGACCGAUAGUGAACCAGUACCGUGAGGGAAAGGCGAAAAGAACCCCGGCGAGGGGAGUGAAAAAGAACCUGAAACCGUGUACGUACAAGCAGUGGGAGCACCUUCGGGUGUGACUGCGUACCUUUUGUAUAAUGGGUCAGCGACUUAUAUUCUGUAGCAAGGUUAACCGUAUAGGGGAGCCGCAGGGAAACCGAGUCUUAACUGGGCGUUAAGUUGCAGGGUAUAGACCCGAAACCCGGUGAUCUAGCCAUGGGCAGGUUGAAGGUUGGGUAACACUAACUGGAGGACCGAACCGACUAAUGUUGAAAAAUUAGCGGAUGACUUGUGGCUGGGGGUGAAAGGCCAAUCAAACCGGGAGAUAGCUGGUUCUCCCCGAAAGCUAUUUAGGUAGCGCCUCGUGAACUCAUCUUCGGGGGUAGAGCACUGUUUCGGCUAGGGGGUCAUCCCGACUUACCAACCCGAUGCAAACUACGAAUACCGAAGAAUGUUAUCACGGGAGACACACGGCGGGUGCUAACGUCCGUCGUGAAGAGGGAAACAACCCAGACCGCCAGCUAAGGUCCCAAAGUCAUGGUUAAGUGGGAAACGAUGUGGGAAGGCACAGACAGCCAGGAUGUUGGCUUAGAAGCAGCCAUCAUUUAAAGAAAGCGUAAUAGCUCACUGGUCGAGUCGGCCUGCGCGGAAGAUGUAACGGGGCUAAACCAUGCACCGAAGCUGCGGCAGCGACACUAUGUGUUGUUGGGUAGGGGAGCGUUCUGUAAGCCUGCGAAGGUGUGCUGUGAGGCAUGCUGGAGGUAUCAGAAGUGCGAAUGCUGACAUAAGUAACGAUAAAGCGGGUGAAAAGCCCGCUCGCCGGAAGACCAAGGGUUCCUGUCCAACGUUAAUCGGGGCAGGGUGAGUCGACCCCUAAGGCGAGGCCGAAAGGCGUAGUCGAUGGGAAACAGGUUAAUAUUCCUGUACUUGGUGUUACUGCGAAGGGGGACGGAGAAGGCUAUGUUAGCCGGGCGACGGUUGUCCCGGUUUAAGCAUGUAGGCUGGUUGUCCAGGCAAAUCCGGAUAAUCAAGGCUGAGGUGUGAUGACGAGGCACUACGGUGCUGAAGUAACAAAUGCCCUGCUUCCAGGAAAAGCCUCUAAGCAUCAGGUAACAUUAAAUCGUACCCCAAACCGACACAGGUGGUCAGGUAGAGAAUACCAAGGCGCUUGAGAGAACUCGGGUGAAGGAACUAGGCAAAAUGGUGCCGUAACUUCGGGAGAAGGCACGCUGGUGUGUAGGUGAAGUCCCUGCGGAUGGAGCUGAGACCAGUCGAAGAUACCAGCUGGCUGCAACUGUUUAUUAAAAACACAGCACUGUGCAAACACGAAAGUGGACGUAUACGGUGUGACGCCUGCCCGGUGCCGGAAGGUUAAUUGAUGGGGUUAUCCGUAAGGAGAAGCUCUUGAUCGAAGCCCCGGUAAACGGCGGCCGUAACUAUAACGGUCCUAAGGUAGCGAAAUUCCUUGUCGGGUAAGUUCCGACCUGCACGAAUGGCGUAAUGAUGGCCAGGCUGUCUCCACCCGAGACUCAGUGAAAUUGAACUCGCUGUGAAGAUGCAGUGUACCCGCGGCAAGACGGAAAGACCCCGUGAACCUUUACUAUAGCUUGACACUGAACAUUGAGCCUUGAUGUGUAGGAUAGGUGGGAGGCUUUGAAGCGUGGACGCCAGUCUGCGUGGAGCCAACCUUGAAAUACCACCCUUUAAUGUUUGAUGUUCUAACGUUGGCCCCUUAUCGGGGUUGCGGACAGUGUCUGGUGGGUAGUUUGACUGGGGCGGUCUCCUCCCAAAGCGUAACGGAGGAGCACGAAGGUUAGCUAAUCCUGGUCGGACAUCAGGAGGUUAGUGCAAUGGCAUAAGCUAGCUUGACUGCGAGCGUGACGGCGCGAGCAGGUGCGAAAGCAGGUCAUAGUGAUCCGGUGGUUCUGAAUGGAAGGGCCAUCGCUCAACGGAUAAAAGGUACUCCGGGGAUAACAGGCUGAUACCGCCCAAGAGUUCAUAUCGACGGCGGUGUUUGGCACCUCGAUGUCGGCUCAUCACAUCCUGGGGCUGAAGUAGGUCCCAAGGGUAUGGCUGUUCGCCAUUUAAAGUGGUACGCGAGCUGGGUUUAGAACGUCGUGAGACAGUUCGGUCCCUAUCUGCCGUGGGCGCUGGAGAAUUGAGGGGGGCUGCUCCUAGUACGAGAGGACCGGAGUGGACGCAUCACUGGUGUUCGGGUUGUCAUGCCAAUGGCACUGCCCGGUAGCUAAAUGCGGAAGAGAUAAGUGCUGAAAGCAUCUAAGCACGAAACUUGCCCCGAGAUGAGUUCUCCCUGAGACUUUAAGUCUCCUGAAGGAACGUUGAAGACGACGACGUUGAUAGGCCGGGUGUGUAAGCGCAGCGAUGCGUUGAGCUAACCGGUACUAAUGAACCGUGAGGCUUAACCUUACAACGCCGAAG